rnacentral:rRNA from 1 species
UACAGAGGGGGCAAGCGUUAUUCGGAAUUAUUGGGCGUAAAGGGCGCGUAGGCGGCCUUGCAAGUCGGUUGGUGAAAGCCCGGGGCUCAACCCCGGAGGUGCGGCCGAGACUGCAGGGCUGGAGUCCGGAAGAGGCGAGUGGAAUUCCUGGUGUAGCGGUGAAAUGCGCAGAUAUCAGGAGGAACACCAAUGGCGAAGGCAGCUCGCUGGGACGGUACUGACGCUGAGGCGCGAAAGCGUGGGGGGCAAACAGG